GAGCCUGUAGCGCAGCCUGGAUUAGCGCAACAGCCUCCUAAGCUGUGGGUCCCGGGUUCGAACAUGCUCCCUGGCCACUGCC
rnacentral:tRNA from 2 species